ACUCAUUAUUUGUUAUAUUUGAUAGCGGCUGGUGCCUAUGAAUUAAAUUUCUGAUGGUUAUUGGCCAAGCACUCGAAUUUUUAUAAAACUCAUGAUUAAUUUGUGAAGAUGGAAUAUUGAGAAUAGAUGUAAGCUUCUCAAUCAACAGGCGAUUAUUUUCCCAAACGGAAAGAGAAGGCUUUAGAAUUGGGUCUUCAUUGACUUCCUCAGUGUUGGAUUGAAAUUUACUCAAAGGUUUUCUAGAAUUAGUUGCUUUUUUAGUUUUCUUUUUCCUUUGACGAGAACGGUGACCUAUGUUGGAAGUAAUCAGAGCGUCAGCAGCAGUCUCUAUCUGUUCACUUUCCUGUAUGGCACGAUGAUUUAACAGUUCAUCGCUUGAGCGAACGAGGUCGUUUUGACAUUUCGCUUGAACCAAUUGAACCCGCGCAGCAGAAAGAUCGCUAAACAUAGAUCUCAAAAAAUUGUAGACAUCGGGAUCUAGUUCUAAACUCGAAUCCUUUAGUUCCCAGGUAAAAUCCUCCUCAUCUAUUUUGUUUAUCUCUUCAUCUAGAGUUUUAAGGUUUAAUAAUUCCUGCUCAUCACGCCUCAAAUUAUCCCAAUGUUCCUCAUGUGAAUCACACUGGCUUUCGAUGGACAAAGCUUCAAGUAUUUCUCGUGCGGUAUUACUAUCAUCACUGUCAUUUACAAUUGCAAGAACUAGCGCAGAAUCUAGAUAUCUCGAAUAAUAUUCCUAAAUCACUUAGUGAGAAGUAAAAUAAUCAGAAAUUACCUCUAAUGCUGCGCGCCAAUCUUGCAUUUACCAGUUUUUGCGUUUAUAAUUAUUCCUUUUUACGUUUGGUUCAUGUUUUCUACAAAAUGACAUACAGCUCUUGGAUAAUUAAUACUUUGAAUUCGUUAAACUUCAUUAAAUGACAAUAAACGACUCGCUUACAACACAGUGUAUCGUAGCAGAAAUUCAAGAAAAUGAAGGCAACAAAAAUGCAAUAAAGUCGCUCUACCAACGUUUUUCAGAAGACCAAUUUUCUAAAAGUCAGUUGGUAUAUAAAACGGAAGUCGUAGAACUUUGCUGGAAAUAUAACUAUAUUGGUCGGUUACAAAGUGCGCUUAUCGAACUCAAGUGCACGCUAUUUAUUAGCUAGUUUUAUCUAUAACAAAAUAUAUAGUAGCUAAAGCUCAAAACUCACUCCACGUUUAUGUGAGCGAACUUAAGUUUAUCUCUAGUAACAAAUUUAUAAUUAGCAAUCAAGCGUUGUCGUGAUGAGUGAGAUAAUUUACAGAAGUUGUUUAAUAUGCAAACUGAGAGUAAUUCGUGCAUUGAUCUAUGUUUAAUAUGCGAAAGACUUCUGUUCCGUAGGGAAUAAACCAUCUAAUAAGAAUUUGUCCCAUAUUAACCUUAUCUGAAGUCGUCUAUUUGAAUAAUAAUAACCUAACGGUUGAUUUAUCGAAUGAACAGCACAUUAGCACAAGUAAAUUCAAAGGGUUCUAAACGGCUUUUUGCUAACUGUGAGGCUCUUAUGAUGUCUGGGAUUUGAUAUUGAAAUACUCAAAAUCUCCCAACUUCUAUUGGAAAAACAAUAAAUGGAAGUUCCUUGCAACAAAUUUAAAGUAUCAAUAUAUCAGCAACACGGUGGCUUUAUUAAAUGAAUGUAACUGGUAGAAGAAGAAAAAUUACAGUCUGAUUUGAUUUUGGAAUCACAUCAAAGAACCAGGCUGGGAAAACCAAAAUUAGCUUUUAAAAAAGAGACUUUAGUUUACAAAUAGAAUGAAUGGAAACUCAUUACAACGAUUAAAGACUAGGGCUAGGAGCA
rnacentral:lncRNA from 1 species